rnacentral:lncRNA from 1 species
UUUGGUUUGGGAUAACUUUGUGUUCUGUAGCAAGAAUGGGUUUUAAUGCUAGAUAUAUUUACCUAUAUUUGUUACUAGUAAAUACCCCAAUCUCUACACUAAUCCAUCUUGUUUGUCAGAUGCAGAAAACAUCUUUGACCUUUCCAUCUGGAAUAUGAAGCUCAAGAAAACAUUCAGUUCUUCAGCACAAGAAGGUCGAGGACUGGCAGCUCCAGUCCCUACUCUCAUUUAAUAUCUAUAGAAGAAUACUGUAGACUUCGGAAUAUCAUGCUGAUUAAUGGUGCAGAAUGGCUUGCUGGAGUUAGAAAAGACAACCUAAGGGCCUGUAUUUUAAGAAAUGACAAGGAAUUAGUUCUUCUUACUAAAGCUGACUGUAAGGAUCGUUAAGACACUAUCAAUACCAGCUGGUGGAUAGGACCCUGUGCAAUCAUCUGGCAACUCUUCUCUCUCUCCAGAGCUGGUCUGUAGUGCUGAAGAAGCUGAUGGUUUCGUGGACAUACUGGGAGCCUAAUGUGGUGGAGACAAAAAGACAGAACUGAGCCACUCAGCCAGGCACUGGGAAAAACAACUCAUGUCACACUCAUGAAAUGAAUGCUUUCUUCAUCUAUGCUUUUGGGAAUGCCCGUAAUCCCAGCUGAUCUGAAGAAGGUACUACAUAUACAUGUAGUAAUCCAAUUUUAAUUAAGGAGAUCAAAAUAAACUAAGAAAACACAUUUGCUUUACUUUAGCUAGCAAAUAGGGAUCAGUAUUAUCUGGAUGGGUAGUUAAAGUUGCCAAGAUUAAGAAAUCAUUUAUUCUCCUUCUAUAUACUGACUUAUAUGUAAUAUACAGUGCAAUAAUAGAUUUAUUACUCAAAUGUUAAC